AUUUCAAAGAAUGCCUCUCAUUUUCCUGAAACACUCAAAUUACAGUCAAAUAUUUAACACGUGGAACAAAAAUAUACAAAGGUUAAAAAAAAAGCUGCUUAUCUGAGGUUUUGAAAAAAUGCUUAGUAAGCAAAAGCUGUUCUGCUACAUUUCCAUUGUCAAUGUAUCCCCAAGGGGAGAACGAGAGAGAAAUGGAACAGCUUGCUAUGAUCGGCAUUAUAUUCCCUUAAGGCUGAACUGUCAGAUCCCUAUUUAUGAUAUGAAUUACUGCCACCUACUCACCUGGGGACAGCAUGAUUUCUGCUCCUGCUCACUGGACCCCUCUGCUGCAGCUACAGAAUGGAGCACUAGCAAGAGAAGAAUAGGAAGAGAAGUACCACUUCUUAAUCUGUCCCCUGCUGGCGGUAGGAUCAAAAAGCACAAGAACACAGCAAAGUUGCAUGAGACAGUAGCUAACUAUGAUGAUGACCCCAAGACAUAAAAUUAAAAUAAUUCCAGUUGUUCUGACAAAAAGACCACCCAAGACGGUUGAGCAAGAAGAUACCACUUCAAACAUGUCUUCUGGAGACUUGUCUAUGCCUUCUAUCAAUAAUAAGCACAUAGAUUUGAACAUUGUUAUUAUCCAAACACAAAUCAUGACUUUGUGUUUCACUGCAUGCACCAAGGAUAUGUAUCUAAAAGACCAGUGAACAGCAAAGCAUCUGUUAAGUGCCAUCACAGUCAAAGUUAUUAGUACUCCUCCUUCAAUUGCUACUUGAACUCCAAAGAUUAUCCAGAAUACAAUUUUGGGACUUUUCACAGCAAGUGCUCAUAUUGUAUUGUAUGCAACACCAAAACAGGAGAAUAAAGAAG